GACGACGUUGAUAGGUCGGGUGUGUAAGCGCAGCGAUGCGUUGAGCUAACCGAUACUAAUGAACCGUGAGGCUUAACCUU
rnacentral:rRNA from 1 species